UACCUUUAAUGGCUUUUAUCAUUUUACCUUCAUAACACAAAUGCUUAUAAACAUUAAUUUAAAAUUUAAAUUAUUUAAUGUAUGGAACAAACCCUGUGGAUAUUCAGUCUGGAUGUUUUUGACUAGAAGACAGCAAAUUGAGGCAGAUUUGGAUUGUUAACAAUUGCAUCCAUGACUUGGGUUUUGAAACAAGCCUUGAUGAAUAAUACUGCAUAGUUAUUGCACUAUCAAGCAUUUUCAAAAGAUAAUUAAAAUAGUAAUUUUUUUUAAUGAAACCAUCUAGAAUGCUCAGCCUGCUGAAUUUUACAUUGGACCUUUGUAUUCCUUAGGGAAUAACACUGGUGAUGUUUCAAAAGGGAGCAUUUUCAGGGGCAAGGCAAUAUAAAGCCUCUGAGAUAGGGAAUUUUUGCUGCUUGGAUAAACAUAAUCAAAAAUAGAAUGGUAGAAAUCAUGUCUUCUGUGGUGUUCAACCUGUGCUGAUUUAUGCUCUUUGUUUCUUUAUCAGUGGAUAUCAGACUGAGAUCAAUCUUCUCAUUUCUAAAGAUGUUUUCAUUAAGGGUUUUCAAGUUCACCUAUCAUUUUUAUUUGUCAUUAUAUUGGAUUUCUCUUUGUCCAGAUCAGGCUGAACAUUUUUCUUUCAGUUUUCUCCAAGGUUUUCAUAGGGAGGAGAGAGGAUUGUUCUGAGUGACACUGGCAUGCAAAUAAAUAACACUGAAACUUGGAAGAGUGUUAAUUAAAAAUUAUUAUAACCUGACUGACCUGACUUGGCAUCAUGGUAUCUUGCCAAACUGGCUCUUUAUUCUUACGCGUGUCUGAUUUGUGUUUGUGGUGUGAAGCUGAUGAGCUCAUGGAAUUGUUUGGCCUAAUCUCCCCCUCUUCACACUGCCAAAGUUUUACGUGAGGAAGAACAAGGAAUAUCAAAAUGAGGUUCACUGCGUAUGACUCAUGGUGAUUAGCCCAAGCAAUAUGUGGUAUAGAUUGUAUUUUAAUGAAUUCAGGUCGAUAACAUAUUGGGUCUGUUGUUUGUUUACCUAAAUGAGAUUUACAGUGUUUUAAGACUGGCUUACACCUGUGUGUAAGAUCUAUUGGCUUCAGUGCACUUUUUUUUUUUUUUUUUGUGAUUCUUACCUGUGUGGGGCCACAUAAGGCCCACUGAAACAAAAUAGAACGUGUUUAAUUACGUAGUUAAUCCACAACAAUGUAGCACUCAAUUUGCUGUGACUUCUGAUCACAUUGCCAUCAUUUUAGCUCUGCAGAAGAGGAGCAGUUUGGGUGGUUGUGAACAAGGACUGGAGUCUUAGAGAGAUCUCUCAGUUAAAAGAGAAGCAGAUCUUAUCUUUACAUCCUUAUGUGCUAUAUAGACAUCAGAAGGAUGUGUCUUAGAGUCUUUGAAGUGAGAUGGAGCUAACAAUUGUCCUGUUCCUCAUUCCCAUUCCCAGAGGGACACUGGGCUGUGGGCUGGGGCUCUGGAAGAUGCAGGUCUCCCACCUCAGCUCUCCUUCCCAGCUGGCUGCUGUGCUCAUUAUCCGGGGUGGAGUGCCCCGGUGACACACCUCUGCAGCAUCUUGUUUUGGAGUUACUUGGUAGGAGUGCUGUGCUGAGCUGUGCAGCCAUAUCCUGCAUUUAACUAUAGGGUUACACGAGUAAUAGGUCAGGUAGUUCAACCAAAGUUAUUCAGAAUAUGUAGCACAGGUGAUGCAAUUACCCAAUACAUGCUGUGGGACCCCUCUCUGUGGCCAGUUCUGUAUUCAGUAAUUGUCAGUGGGUUUUGACAUGUGACCAGCACAUUCUCAAUAUGAUUUAUCACACUGUCCUUUUCUUGCAUCUCCUUUUUUUCGUAAUUUUUUGUAAUAUUUCAAGAAGAAUUCCUCGAUUAUUUCCUCUGUUUCCUGAGGCAUGCAUAGUAGCCACAAUCUGACAUUACAUUCCAUUGCAUUAUUUACAGCACAUAAAUGCAAUGUCUUUAACAUCCCUGUACCAGUGAUCCCAGCAGGCUCAGGCAAAGUGAGUCCUACUUUUGUAGCUAUUUAGUUUGAAUUUAAGUCUGUCCAUGCCCCUGCAAGCUUACAGUUUUGAAAGAGGAGACAAAAUGGAUAGGUAACAUGGACAGAACAGGUUGAGUAGAGGGGAUUUCCCUCCCCCUGUAGGUUUAUUCUUAACAUUGGCAUCAGUCUUUCAAACUAUUUGAAGGGAACUUAUUGCUGAGAAGUGAUGAGAAUGGGAAAGGAAAGACAAAUAGCAGCACAGUAGUGUGAAGAGAAAGAGCAGAAAGAGUGAAUUUGACUCAGAGAAGCUUUUGGUGACUGGCUUCAUAGAAAUAAUACAAUAGAAAGUGGAGAAAAAGUCCAUGGUCAAAUCACAUGAGGAGUCAGUCCAAAAUUUCCAAAUAGGUCGCUGAUGUUUGCUGGCAGCUUUUAACUUCAGCUGGAAGAAAAGAGCCUCUUUUCUCCACAAACCAGAAUUAAUGUGUAAUGCUUUUCUCCUCCAACUCAAGUGACUUGUGUUAAGAGGGCAGCUUUUGGACAAGGACCUUGGACCAAGUCCUGUUUGGGUACAGUGGAAGAUUUCCAGCUGUAUUUUAAAGUACCAUUCACCUCUUGCGUCUGAACUAUUUAUUUGCAGUGGGGUCACUCCCAGCUUCCACUACUGCUAGGACAUUAAUGGUCUAAAUAACUGCACCUGCUACGUUAAUGAAAGUGUGCAGAAAAGCUCAAGUAAUUUAGAAAAUUAUGUAUUGUUUUGGGGCGCCAAGAAGGACAGAAAGAUACAAGUGGCAAGAAGUUGGUCAAAAGAAAUGGGGAUUUCAGAUCGCUUGCUGUGUUGUUGCCACAGUGUUAGCAGUGCUGCUAAUGCUUUCAGUAUUAUACUGACUGUAUUCAGCUUUGUAGUUGAAUGUGUUGCAGAGUGGGAGGGCUUUUUGACUAAGAGAAGGAAUUGGAAUAAUGUUUAUUUUUAAAGAAGUCCUUCUUUUUAUUUUGCUGGCAGGUUUUUAAGAUUGUGAGAUUUGUUUAAGACCAAUCCCUAGCAAAGAAAUAAAUAGGUCAUUUGGCAUCUUUGGAUCAAAAAAUCAGAGGAAAUCCGAACUUUAAACAAUCCAUUCCUGCUCCAGUCUGCAAACAUGAAUCGUACCAAUAUGAUUCCUGAUAAAUGUUUGUCUAACCUGUUUUUGAAGUCUUUUGCAGCCUCCUCAAGCAAUCUAUUCAAGUCCUUAUUAUGCCUACUGGUAAGAGAAGCCAUUUCUAAUGUCUAGUCUAAAACUCCCACCUGCAGUUCACACCCAUUACUUCUUAUCGUGCCAUGCUGGGCAUGAAGAACAGCUUAAUUCUCUUCCUCUCUGCUUCCAUCUUUUAUGUAUUAGAUAAUGCUUGCAUUCUCCUGCAUGUGCCUUUUUCUGUGCAGCUGGACUGGGAUGAAUAUAGAUUGAAGGGGAAAAAAAGAGGGAAAAAAAAUCACAUUUCUGGCUGAGACAGUCAUUUUUGCUGCUCAGGCAGCAAGUGGCUGAAAUGGAGGAGUUAGAAAAUGCUGGGCAGGGCAGGGUGAUUUGCUUAAGGCGAUCUGAGGCCCUAAACAUGUGCACAAGAGAGAGAGGCUGGUGCCUGCCAUGUGUUGCACAUCUCUCAUGACAGUGCCUGUUUGGCAUUUCUGUCUCACCUGCCCAUGUCUCAGCCUGCAUCUCUCACCCGUCACCUGAACUGUGGCCAGGAACUGUAGGUGCUAAUGUGGAGCCUGAUUUUGAGGGAUUAGGUUAGUUCUCUGCUUCCAUUUUUAGUUGUCUCCAUUUUUGAACUCAGAGAUGGGUAACAAAAUGUAGGGAAUGAGAAAUGUGUCGGCUGGUAACUGAUCCACACUCCUUAAUUCAGCCCAUCAAAGACAUACUCCAAGAUACAGGAGAUAUCCAUGAAAUACCUUCCCCCUUCUUUCUUCACAUCUUGCAGGUCCUGGCAAAGAUCCCCAGAACUGUUGUUCAGAAUUAUCCCAAACAUGAAUCCCUGACUGCUCUCAGCAUCUGCUCCAGACCAGUAUCCCUUAGCAUGGGUAUGACAGAGGCUUCCCAAAUAUCCUAGGCAGACAUUCCUAGACACUUAGGAGCACCAAUCCUUUGGCUGUCCACUCUGUCUUCUCCCAAGUGUCCCAGCCAUGCCAGCCUUUCCUCAUGGAUCAUUUGGGUCACCUAUAUGGUGAUACAGUCUCUAAAAUUGCAAGUUCACAUGGUGCUUGGUUUACUUGGUGCUGCCUAUGCUGUGGGUUUAGGGAGCAGCUCUCCAGUUCUCCAGGUGUGAGGCACACACGUGGGUGGGUGAAAUCCUCAUCUCAUGGGGAUUUUGUGGGGUAAACAGUGCUUUGUUCCUUUGGGGCUGACAGCUGAAUGAAGACACAGAGCAGUUUGCAUGAUUUAAAGCUGUUUUUUUGCAAACCCGAAUAGUCACUGGGGUCACAUUUUCUUUUCUGUGAUGAAGACUAUAAACUUACUUUUAAAUUAAGAAAAUUCACGUUCUUUUGCUAGUUGUGUGAUUCUGAGAGGUGGGACCGGAAGCAUAAGGCUAUAAUGCUAUUUAUAAUGCCAAAAUAUUUAGAUCAAAUGAGAUUCUUAUGAAGUGGAGAGGAAAUAAUUAUUCUCAUGUCACUUAAUUAUUGAAAGAGAAAGCCUAUGGAAAUUUUUCCUCAAGUCCAUGAAGUCUAGAAUUGCCUCAUUCCACUCCAGUAGUGGACUUCACAAAUGGUCAGUAUGACAAAAUCUUACCUGUAGGCUAAAUUUGGAAGAGAAAUCUCCAUUUUGCUACAUUUUCUAAAAGAACACAGUUCGUAUUGUGAACUGUGAAUUUUUUUUUUUUUUUUUAAUUGAGGAAGGCAUUUUCUCAUCUUGGAAUGAGAGUGGGUAUUAACAUUACAGGUGUAGGAAUUGGUAUUACCUCUGAUGAUAUGAAUCUCAAUUGAAAUGAACCUGGAAAAGUCCCCCAAGCAUUUUCUGUUGAUAACUGUGACACCCAGUGGUUAUUUAAAGAAGUAUAAAAUGUAGUACAGUAGGAUUGCAGUGAACCUAAAGGCUGCACAAAAUACUGAGGUUUAUACAGUAAAUGUGUGCUUUUAGAGUAGUACUUUUUUCUUUGGUGUUCAGAUACUAAAUUUAAGCUACUUUAGGAGUUGUGAGGCUUUAUCCAUUAGGUUUAUGAUUUGCCAUAUUUAAAACAUACACACACACACACACAUAAAUAUAUUUAUGUAUUUACUUGUACAAAGCUUUUUAAUACAUGGUGAGGCUGAGUUUAUAACUCUGGUGAAACACUGACAAAAAGUAGCUAUGAAGUAUGAAAUGGCUUUUAAUUCUUGUUGGCGAGAAGCUGGCUCAGAAGAAGUGUGGGAGAUAAAGGAACCUUGUUUCCUCUCCUUUGUUUGCCACUGACUCAUUGUGUGGCAUAGAACAAAUUGCUUGUGUGCAUGGCUGAUAAGUGCUUCAGUCUGCUCAUAAAGGUGCAAGGUUGUAAUUAGUAUUAAUCUAGGUGGCAUUCACCUCCAACCGUUCAUGCCAGAGUCAAGAAUGAUUAAGUUACAUGCUGUGUAUAAUGCCUCCUAUUUGUAUUCCAGAGCAUAAUAUUACUUUAUGAGCUGUGUUUUAUUACAGGGCACUGAAUACAGAUUUACUUCCAUAUACCUGCUAAAUGAGAAAUUAAACCCUAUUGUUUAGGGAUCACUGACCAUUAAAUAUUUACUCCGGGUGGCAUGUUUAAAAUAAAGGAAUGCCGUUAAAAUUCAGAACAUCAGUGCAGUGGACCAAGCAGCAGGUGCCCAUUAUAAAUAGAUUACUGUAUCUAUUGUUUGGGAAUGUCUCAGGGAACUGCUGAAGCUUUUUCUUGCAGGUAAGAAGAAUUACACAACAAAAAGGGCAAUGUCAGAAGGCAUCCCCUUAUAAGCCUGGAGAUUAGACAGAGCUGCAAAGUCAGUUGCUGCCUAAGGCCCUGUCUUGGCUGCAUUAGCUGUGGUUGUACUGUAUACCUCAGCACUGUGCUUCAGCUCCCUGAGUGUGUGCCUUGUCUUCAUCCAGAGCUGGGGUGACAUCUGUAUUCCCACCCUUUAUUAAUCUCUACCCUACCCAGUUUUCAUGCAGGGAAACUGCAGCCAGGAGGGGAGAAAUGAGACAUGCUGGCAAGUCCAGCCAUAUCAUGGUGAGGAGAGAAUCAAGACACACACAAAAACACAAGCUGAAUGGCUGUGCUACAGCAUCACUUUGCAAGAACAUCGAUAUUAUCUAUUUCACACUAUUUUUUUAUUUUUAUGAUCAUCAGUGUUUCAUAUUUAAUAGGAUCAUAUGAAAUAUCGAAUUGUCAUAAGAAUCUUAAAUGCUGAAUUCAGGAUAAAAAUACCUUAAGACAACUACACAUGUUGGAGCUAAACUUGUUUAUCAUGAAAAAACAGGGUUUGGAUGUUAUUACUUGGAAUUCUGUAAGGUUUAGUAGUCCUUGUUUCACACCUGCUGCCCAGUCUUUACAAGGACACAAAAAGAUGGAAACAUAAGAGUGAAAAUGAAGUAAUGCUUGAUAAAGUGCAGUGUUUACUCUGUUGCUAACAGACUGUCACCCGUCGUUAACUGCAGGAUGAAGAGUGCUUUUGUCUUCCAGCUUCUGAUAAGAACAAAUGUGAUAAAAUGCUGUUCUAACAGAAGAAUAUAUGCUGGUGUUUACUGAUAUACUAACACAUGUAUACACUUGGCUCAAUCCUGGUUUAGUCUCCAGAAGGAGGUGAUGAAGAGAUACUUUGCUCUUUAACCUAACCCUGAAAUAUGGAUAUGCAGAAAUUUGGUUUUACUUGGUGUCCCUCUGCUGUUUAUUUUAUACUCAAAUUACUUGAAUUCUUGAAUUCUAGCUCUGGGUCAUUGAUGCCUACUCUUGGUUUGGUUUGUUGAAUUAUACAUAGCUCAUUUCAAUCCUUCCACGAGUUUGGCUGGUUGAUUGUGUUGGAUUUAGUGUUAAAAAGUUUGGUUUUAUUCCUCAAAGACUGGGCAAAUCAUGUUAGAAACCAGUUUGUCUUCUGCUUUGUUUAUAUCAUAUUUUGCUAGCCAGCAUAAACAAAGCCUAGGGCAAUUUGCCAUCCUAUUCUAGACAGGAUGUCCAAAAAGUGGAGUCAAUGCAAAGUCUUCUGUUUACACUGUGAACUGAGUUUGGAGUUUUUUGCUUCCCUGUUCUGGAUUCUUUGUCCCUAAAGUGAUUUCUUAUCCUAUGAGGAGAAAACUACAACUCACAGUGCACAAAUCUGCAUUUUUUGGUAAAAGAUAUGUAGGAGGUGGAGGAAAUGUGUCCCAAAACUUGGAUUACAGAAAAAGAGUACGCUGAGAGAAGAAAGAAGUCUGCCAUGUAUGUUGAUAUUUACCUUAGUUUCUGCGUUGGGAAGAGCAUACUUGAAAGAUACGAGUAGUGAUGUGCUUUAUCCCUUCCCAGGCUUGGCAUGGAAGAGAGUUUCCCAGUAAUUAUUAUUAAUUGCUGUGAUGCAGCACUCCAGUGGUUGAUGAAGUGUCUCUGGUGUCUCACUGAAAUGGAAUGUUUCAGAUACAGACAUGAAUAUCAUAGAAGACACUUUUGCCAAUAAAGCUACACCCCUGCUGAUUAGCCAGUGCCCUGAGGUCUUGUGAUAAUAAGGUCUGACUUAAACCUCCACACUCGUCCCUCUGCACACCUCCUCUCUAUGUCAACGCAGCUCUUCCAGCACUCAAGUUCAUUUCAACAGUUAAAAUUUGGCUCCUUGCUCUCAAGAACAUCGAGGUCUGACUCUUUGCGAGUGGUGGCUGCUAGACAUGCACAUUCAUUUAUUAAUUUCAGGGAGAAAAACAAGAAAAGGGGACAAAGAAAAGAGCUUAGGAGUGGAAAAAGAGCCAGAGCUGCAGAAGCAGCCCCACAGCCUGGUGGUAGCAGGGUGAGCCACAGUGCUCUGUUGGGAGAUCAAAACAAGUGGAUCCACCCUCAUAAUCUUCCUCUUGCACAACCCCUGAUGUGGCUCUGUGUGGCUGUGUUUCACACUGAAAAAAGGUGAACAGAGGGCAGACCACUGACUUAAACAACAUUUAGAGGAGAUAGAAGUGAAUUUUUAGAUAGUCCCUGCAGGCAGUUCACUGAAUAAAUUGACAAGUAUAAAGAAUGUAGUAAGCAAGUUGAUUUUUGUAUCAGGGUGCAACUAAUUUAAUAGUUACCAAACCAAACUCCUGCCUUCUGGUGUUUUGAGUUCUGAGGUAUGAAAAUAAAAUGUGUGAAGAACAAAACAGGAUUUCUAGAUGGUGGGAGUGAGCAAGAUUUUAUUAAGGAUAUUUGUUUAAAUAGUGCUACAGCAGAUGCAAUACAGAUCAUACCAUCUCACUCAGUCACAGGAGUUCAAGAGUUGAAAAAGGCCAUUUAAAACUUGUGUGUAUAAAUAAGUGUCAGAGAAACUGAAUAAAUUUUCUCUUGAAGUUGAAAAACCUUCUCAGACACUAUAAAUGAGAGAAAUUUCAUCUUAUUCACCAAUAAGCCUUUCCAGAGCAGUCAGUGACUCACAGAUACAAUGUCAGUCCUAAAAGCCUUCCAACCUGAGGAGAAUAUGAAAUGAUGAAGCAUCCUCUGCUGCACAUCUGCUUGAAGUACAGCAUAAUGCUGUUUUAGCACCCAUGGUUUCAGGAGCACAGGCACCAGUCUCAAGUCACUGAACACUCCUGUUGUGGCAAGACAGGACUGUCCCUUUUCUGUGGAGUUUUUUGUUUAGGUUUUGGUGUGGUUUUGGUUGGUUGGUUGGUUUUUGUUGUUGUUGUUGUUGUUUUUUGGGUUCUUUUUCCAUCUUCAAGCACGGAUAGCCAAGGGAGGAAGUAACUGACUGAUUGAUUACUUGUGACUACUGAAUGAAGGCCCUUUUAAAAGGAAAAGUCCUGUCUGCUGCUUUCCAGAAGUUCAGAUGGAGCACUGUGCUUUGCUUCAUCAUCACUUACAUUGUGUAGUAUUCGUGUAGGAGUGCGAAGAAUGGGCAAAAGACCAACAUAGAAAUUUUUAAAAGUUAGUGAUAUAAUAUCUUGGCCAUUGAUUAUAGAAGGAUUCAACCCAGCUGUGCUGGAAAUGUGCUCUGUUCGUUUGGACAAGCAAUUGCACCCAUUGGCAUCUCAUGGCCUUAUUUGAUUUAGGACAGAAGUUUCACAAUUAGCUUAAGCCAAUCUGGGACUGUACUGCUGCCAAAGGGACAUUCCUCCCCCUCUUACAUCAGACCAAGCACCCACAUGACCAUACAAUAAACUGAUCCAUCUGAAAACCAGCCCUGGGGGGGUAGGAAAGUGGGAGAGAUUACUUUUUUAAGUCAGAAAGUUAAGCAAGAAGCCAGAAGGUUGCCAGGGCUUAUGAAAUGGGUGGACUGGCAACAAGGAUCUAGGGGGAUGGAGAGGUGAGACCACCACCUCUGAGGCAGUGGGAUUCAGCAGAUGAGUCCCAUUUGAAGUCCCUUUAGCGUGCAGUGUGGCCCAAGAAGGAUUGCUCUGGAGGGAGAAGCAGGUUGUGCUGCCACAGCAGCAGCUGUGCUGAGUGUGUUGGAGGGGUUGUACUUCAGAUUAGCUCUGGGCUUGUCCCUGUAGGAGCUUGCUGUAAUGGAUGUGCUCCUGGAGCAUGUCUUCUACUUCAGUUGAUAACACGAUCUUGUGUAGAUGCACCCAGUGUGUACCUGGAUACACCACUGCUACUCAUUUUUUUUGAGAUUUUGAGAUGCUCCCAUCAUGGGGAAGUAUUUAGAGUCUGUUUAAACUCUCCUCUUUGGGGGUGAGAGGCAGGAAUAUAGCAGAGCCAGUGUUGAGCAAGAAAAGAGAGACCACAGGGAUUUCAUGUGGUUUUAUCCCCACAAGAAACUGAGUCUUUUCUGUGGUCCUGGUUUGAAGCAAUGGAGGUGUGCCAAUGCUUGAAGCUCAGCUCCCUGUGUGGUUCCUAUUGGCCAUGGUGCACUCAAUGUUCUUCCUCUUUGUGGUCAUUCCCAACAUAGAGGUCUCCUCUUCUCAGCUCCUGAGUGCUUCACCAAAGCAGUCUGUGAACUCACACUCUAGAUUAAAUAUGCCUUUUUGAACAGCAUCCAUAAUUUGCCAUUUGGGGGUGUUUUGUACAGUUUAGUGUAUUUAAUCACUUACUCAUAUUUUUCAUGGGUCACUCUGGUAGUAAAAGACAGCAGGGGGCACCAAAUCUGCAGAAUUCUGUUAAAAUUGCAACAUCUAGGUCCAUGCUCAUAAAAUUUAAGUUAUUCGGCAUACUUUCAGUUUAACAGUUAUUAUGCAUACUUUCAGUUUAACAUCUGUAAGUUCAUUCUAUCACUGAUAUUUUCUAAGAUAUCUCCUUGCUUCUCAAGAGUUUCAGUGCUCGAAGUCGGGGUUGAAUUUCCACAAAAGUAUACGUUUGGGCCAGUAGCAGAUUUUCUCCUGCCAGUUGUCAUCCCAUUUCCUUCCCUACUUAGUGCUGUAGGCUCCAGAGUUCAUGCCCAGGAAGACAUUUGCUAAUACUUAAUUCAGGAAGCGGUUUGUAUUUGCAGAAUUGGAUUAACUGAGGGUUUUGCUUUUAAGCUCCAAAGUAUCCUGAUAUUUGCAUUGUGGAAAGACUUUGUGCUGAAAUCAGUGUUGGACUAUCUAAAGGAGUUCUCAAUGGCCAUGCAAAAUGUUUUCGAGCCUAGAAUAAGCAAUGUAGCUGCCUCUGUACUUUUGGAGAAGCUGGAACUCAACUAUCUUCCAGGUUUUUAAGAAAAAAUCCUCUGCAAAAUAAAAAUGAAACACAAAAUAUAUUCUCUAAUGGUUCUUUGAGUAUUGAUUUAAACAUAAUCUGUGAGCAUGAAUCUGAUUCAAAAGCCUUCCUAAACUGAAUGGUUCACACUCAUGAGACAGCUGUGGGUACACUCAAAGAAGUAAAUCCUAUUAUUUUUGUAUAUAACAUAAACUAUUAUUGGUAUUUUGGAAGUGCUUCAGGGUUAUAUCCUCAUUUGAUAACAUACAAAGAAAAAUAGCAUUGCAGUUUGACAGACACUUCGAGAAAUCUAUUAAUUGUGAGCUACUAGUAGUGUACUCUUGUAACACAUUCAACCCUUCCUGAGAUGGUCAUCACAUGAUUUUUGUUUUUCUGCCCUGCAUGCCCAGUCUUGGAUUUCUAUUCUUCUAAAUUUAAAAUCCUUCUUUGAAAAAUCAGACCAUAAAGAGAGAGAACGAGUCAUGCAGCUAAGAAGAGAACCUAGGUCUGAGAUAUGACUUCUCAUCCUAUAGCUUCUGCUCUUAAACCUUGUCAGCUGGAGCAUCCCUGGAAGUGUCCAAGGUCAGGCUAGAUGGGCCUUUGAACAACCUGAUGAAGCAGAAGAUAUCCCUGGAUCCGUGUGCAUGACAGUUUUGAAUGUGGACUAUGGAAGCAUGGUUUGGUUGGCAUUUUUACAUUACCAUGAAUGUCAUGUUGGAAAUAUGCAACUUUAGUGAUGUAUUCUCACUGUCAUUUCUUUGUAGUUUUUCUACCUCCUAAUUUAAAUCACUUUUUCUAGUUUCAGACCAUUAUAUUUUACCUUGUGUGUGGUGGAUAGAGAAUUGUAUUUCCAUACUUACUACCACUUUACAUUUAUGUUUUCAUGUGUGUCUGCAGAGUUUUCUUUUCGUGGAAUGAGCUGUUCUUUCUGCUUUAUGUCCAAGGCAAAUAGCUCUAACAUCUCCUGAAUUAUCUCAAAUAUGUUUUCUGUUUUCAUUCUGGAUAUAAUUCAGUUUGUUCCAUUUGUGAUAAAACAUGCAUCUAUUUUUCUGAGUACUGGGGAAAAUGCAGCUGGUUUUGCUAACCAUGAUUUAUCAUCAAAAUGAAAGGAUUCUGCACAUGGGAUUUGCAGGAUCGUACCUCAGGUCUAGAACUAUUCAAAACUUCCACUAAUAUUUUGGGUAACAAGGUAGAGAGGACUAUUAAAUAGCAUCCAGUCAUCAGCUGCGGAGGAUCCCUUAACUGCCCUUGAAAGGGUAGGAUGUAAAUUGAGAAUCAUGAGAGUUCAAGAAAUCAGUGUCAAAAGUAUGCACAACUCAACAAAUUAAAAUGAGAGCUACUUCAUUUAGGUAGGAAUAAUUAAAUACACAAUAGUAAGAGUGGGAACAAUCAGACAGCACUGUGAAACAGAUUGCAGAGCUAGCAUAUAUGGCUUUAAUUGCUCAUUCUUCUUCCCAAAACCUAUUACUUUGUUAUAGAAAGAAUUUUAGUUUAGUUUCAUACAAUUUUCCUUUGAUUAAUCUUUGGUCCUUGCUAUUUUUUUUUUGUUGCUCUCUUCUGGAUACUUGCUUAAUUUAAAUCAAGAGAAAAAGAAUGAAAUAAACAAUUAAAUAUGCCAAAA